rnacentral:rRNA from 1 species
AACGAACGCUGGCGGCGUGCCUAACACAUGCAAGUCGAGCGCGAAAGUUCCUUCGGGGAUGAGUAGAGCGGCGGACGGGUGAGUAAUACGUGGGUAAUCUGCCCCCGAGCUCGGGAUAACACUGCGAAAGCGGUGCUAAUACCGGAUAAGACCACAUGACCUAGGUCGUGCGGUAAAAGGUGGCUUUGUUUUCGGACUAGGCUAUCACUUGAUGAUGAGUCCAUGGCCUAUCAGCUUGUUGGCGAGGUAACGGCUCACCAAGGCGAUGACGGGUAGCUGGUCUGAGAGGACGACCAGCCACACUGGGACUGAGACACGGCCCAGACUCCUACGGGUGGCAG